CUUAUGGGCGUUUUUAGGAUAAUUAGUAAUUAAAAAAAAUAGAUAUCAAAGUAAGGAACGGUUCUUAAUCAGGGGAAGGAAGAUACGUAUCUUGUUGGACACGUGUUCAUAAGAGAAGAAAGGUCGUAAACGCCGACGAUGAAGGAAACCGAAGCAACCGGCGUUCCCGAUGAUUCGCAGUGACUUCAGUCUCCGCCGAUGCGACGGAGCAUAACCGGUCGGAGUGAUUGGAUCGGUGGAGGAAGCCGUAGGAGGAGCAGAGAAAUGGGUAGAUGAUUUGCAGCGGACGGUGAAGAAAUCGACGGAUUCCAUUAGGCGCUCCGCUCGUUCUCUCCGUGAAAACUCUACCUCUCAGUUCCGAUCUAUACAGGAUUUCAUUCCACAUGCUUUGAAUCAGUAUAAGACCUAUGAGACUGUUUUCUUCAGUAAAGUUACAGAGGUAUUGAGAAACGCCAAGGAGCAUCCCGCUGCUGCUGCUGGAAUUGGUCUCACUGCUGGUCUCGUUCUUUUACGAGGGUGUAAAGGUUCCUUAUGAGGAAGAGGAAGACGAUGGUGGAGAUGAUGAUAAAGAGAAGGAGAUUGUUUGGUAAGAUCUCUUACCAGAGGAAGUGAAGCAUAUGCGUUUAACAUAACUCAAUGAAGCAUGAAACAUCAGGUUCUUGUUACAAUUCAUAGAAUCUUUUGCUCUGUUUUUUUGUUCAUAUGCUGAGGGAUUGAAAUGAAAGUUUGUUGCUUUAAUCGACUGUUGGGUUCCAUCUCUGGUGUUUAUGAUAAGUUUUUUAAUACUUUGUUGGAACUAGAACUAGACCAUGAGUUGGUAUAGAAUCAUUUGCUCUGGUUUUUGCUCAAAAGAGUGGAGAAUUGGGAGCAUCCGUGUGUAUGUGCGGGGUGAAAAUGUUAUACAAAUAUCAUAUGUAUGUAAUACGACUUAUGUUUGAUAAAAGCUUAUUUACAAUAUCAAUUAUAAGAUUAAGUAUGUAGUGAA